CUAAGCCCCAGAGCGGGCACCAAGUGCAGAGGAAGGGCCGCUGGGGUUCGCCUCGCUCUCGCGUUCCCACGCACACUCAGCGGCGCGCGCUCUCGCGAUACAUCAUUUACUGCUGUCCAUGGGCCAGUAUUUCCACCAUACCCAAAACAUUUAUUUCUCCAAAACUAUUGCUAAUGACAAUGGAUACAUUUUGUUGCCCCAGUAUGGAUUUAACAUUUCCAACACAUGUAACUCCUAAUACUGUACAAUACUGUACCAAAAGAAAAAAAAAGGAUGUACCUCCAUAUUGUACAGAGUUAUAUAUACAAAGUACAAUUUUACACAGUUUAAUAUAUACACCAUAUAUAUAUUGGUGUAAAAGACAUGAAACAAUGGAAACUGUUUGAGCAAGAACAUUCCCAUCCCACCAUUAACAACUGCUGUCAAUAAAAAAGAAAUAUCGGACGCACCAUACGAGCCCAAGCCCACUAUCGCGGGACUAAGGUUUCAAAGCAACAACACCAAAAAAAAGAUUUCUAGACUUUGCAGUUGAACUGUUUCACGUUACAGUAGAACCAUGGCAUCACUGCUAUUCUUCAAAACGCGUUAGAGAUGCUCUCAACCAAUGCCCUGUUUUGGCUACAUAGAGCUGGUCUUUUGAAGACCCUGCUGCUCACAAGUAUUGCUCCAGCAGUUUGGCACACUCACGAGUCCAACUCCAUUGGACUUUAUUUAUUCAAUCGCAGCACUCUGCUGGGAGAGGAAGGCUGGUGAAGUCCACUUCAGAAGUGAAGUUACUACAGUGCCUCUGAAACGAAGGGUCCGUCUGUACUUUCCAUUGCAAACUGCCAAGUGUUUACCCUGUACGAAGCUUGGCGUAUCAAGUAUUAGCACAGCGGGGAGCUGCCCUCCCUCUCUGCUUUCACCUCUUUUUGGCCCAUCUUUGACAAACAAAACUGUUGUCUCAAACUACGUUAUAGGAAGCACAAAAAUGUAACAGAAACAAAUAUUAAUUUCCCAGGCUUUGAACUGCUGUUUUGGCAUCUCGAGAUCCACCAAAAUAGCAUCCGAGAAUCAAGCCUGGAAAAUAACCCCUCCUGGCACCGGCGGUAAGGGAGCAGGCAGAGGUGAAGAACGCCUACGAGCGGCUCCGGCAGCCGUGGCGAUUUGUGCGUGACGCAGCUGCGAAGGGUCGCGGCUCCGCGGGAGCCUGUGCGGGCGCACGGCAGCGGGUCAAGUAUUUCGUUCAAGUACCAGGUUGCUGCACGCAGAAGAGACGAGCGGAAAGCCGACCCAAAGAGAGGAGAAUCUUCGGAAGUGAUAUGUUAGCCCAAAACCAAAAGUUCAGUCCAGCCCACCAGUAACACUCAGCAUUUUCUCUAGGUUGGAAGCUCUCUGCAGGGCAUGAAGCUUUAACACAAGAGAAAACAUCGUUCCCGUCUGUGCAAGCCUCCAGCGCUUGCUGGUGCCCUAAAGAAACAUCUGCGUUUCUCUUACUGCACAUGUGGGACGCUAGCCAAUAUCAGAGUCCAAGGAAGGCAUGCCAGUCUACCGAAGAAAUAUGCAGUGAAGCCACUCCAGAAGCCACAUGCUGCCACGUCAACAUCCCAAGCAGCACUUCUUACACCACUCUAUGAGAGCGGGGAUCCCUAAAGCAGUCCACAGUGGUCACAGCCACUGACCAAAGCAUUUACAACCAGAAACUGGGAGAAGAUACAAAACUUGAGAACUUCUGAUUGAAGUUUUGUAGUGCUUGUAACUGGGAUUUUGCUUCACAGUGACCUGAUAUUGGAUUUCCCAAGCAUGGCAUGUCCUAUUUUGCCUUACAAACAUCACUGAUGCAGGUACACAGGACGAGGCUUAGUUACGAAUGUUUCACUCCCAGGAAGAUUUCCCAGCAGCUAUUCUCCAGUGGAAACAAAUGGAGUUAAUACUCUGGCUGGAAGAGAAGACAGAAC